rnacentral:rRNA from 1 species
GACGAACGCUGGCGGCGUGCUUAACACGUGCAAGUCGAACGGAAAGGCCCUGCUUUUGUGGGGUGCUCGAGUGGCGAACGGGUGAGUAACACGUGAGUAACCUGCCCUUGACUUUGGGAUAACUUCAGGAAACUGGGGCUAAUACCGGAUAGGAGCUCCUGCUGCAUGGUGGGGGUUGGAAAGUUUCGGCGGUUGGGGAUGGACUCGCGGCUUAUCAGCUUGUUGGUGGGGUAGUGGCUUACCAAGGCUUUGACGGGUAGCCGGCCUGAGAGGGUGACCGGCCACAUUGGGACUGAGAUACGGCCCAGACUCCUACGGGAGGCAGCAGUGGGGAAUAUUGCACAAUGGGCGGAAGCCUGAUGCAGCAACGCCGCGUGCGGGAUGACGGCCUUCGGGUUGUAAACCGCUUUCGCCUGUGACGAAGCGUGAGUGACGGUAAUGGGUAAAGAAGCACCGGCUAACUACGUGCCAGCAGCCGCGGUGAUACGUAGGGUGCGAGCGUUGUCCGGAUUUAUUGGGCGUAAAGGGCUCGUAGGUGGUUGAUCGCGUCGGAAGUGUAAUCUUGGGGCUUAACCCUGAGCGUGCUUUCGAUACGGGUUGACUUGAGGAAGGUAGGGGAGAAUGGAAUUCCUGGUGGAGCGGUGGAAUGCGCAGAUAUCAGGAGGAACACCAGUGGCGAAGGCGGUUCUCUGGGCCUUUCCUGACGCUGAGGAGCGAAAGCGUGGGGAGCGAACAGGCUUAGAUACCCUGGUAGUCCACGCUGUAAACGGUGGGUACUAGGUGUGGGGUCCAUUCCACGGGUUCCGUGCCGUAGCUAACGCUUUAAGUACCCCGCCUGGGGAGUACGGCCGCAAGGCUAAAACUCAAAGGAAUUGACGGGGCCCCGCACAAGCGGCGGAGCAUGCGGAUUAAUUCGAUGCAACGCGUAGAACCUUACCUGGGUUUGACAUGGAUCGGGAGCGCUCAGAGAUGGGUGUGCCUCUUUUGGGGUCGGUUCACAGGUGGUGCAUGGCUGUCGUCAGCUCGUGUCGUGAGAUGUUGGGUUAAGUCCCGCAACGAGCGCAACCCUUGUUCACUGUUGCCAGCACGUUAUGGUGGGGACUCAGUGGAGACCGCCGGGGUCAACUCGGAGGAAGGUGGGGAUGACGUCAAGUCAUCAUGCCCCUUAUGUCCAGGGCUUCACGCAUGCUACAAUGGCUGGUACAGAGAGUGGCGAGCCUGUGAGGGUGAGCGAAUCUCGGAAAGCCGGUCUCAGUUCGGAUUGGGGUCUGCAACUCGACCUCAUGAAGUCGGAGUCGCUAGUAAUCGCAGAUCAGCAACGCUGCGGUGAAUACGUUCCCGGGGCU